rnacentral:lncRNA from 1 species
UGGAUCCAAAGGAACUCAGCAUAUAAUUAAAUUAAGAUGUGCAUGUGUGAUGGAGUAAUGAUAGUGAUGAUAAGUGAUAAUAAAACUUAGUUCUCAUUGCUCCUCAUAUUGCUAUCUCUCCUCUUCUUUGAUCUUUGCUUUGGGAGAACAUGGGCUAUCUCUUUUUCUUCUGUUGUUUUUUUUCAGGUGGGUAGUAGAUACCCCUAAUUCUACUGUCGGACACUUGUCCACUUUUACCUCUCGUCUCACUCUUUUUCUUUCUUUUUCGAGGUUCCGGGCACUUGCCUCUUUUUAUAUCCUCGCAUAUUUUUGCAUAACUUAUGUCUCUUCUACAUUGAAUCUUUUUAGAGAGAGAGAAUAACAAUAUUCGUGACAGUGAGUGAUAAUAUUUUUAGCAAUUUUAAUGAUUGGUAAUGAAUGCUGUGGUAGAUGUGUGCAAGUGAAUAUCUUAAUUUAACCACAUGAAAAGCUCCUAAGGGUCUACACAGCUCGAUCAAACUCAAUGUAAAUAUAGUAAAAGAUGUUAUAGCAAGUAUGGCUGUGGUAGGUAGUUUGUUAUGCUAGGAACUCAUCAUGUGACUUGUAAGUUUUCAAAAUAAAUCUCUAGAACUUAGUGUAGUAGGAACAAGAUAAACAGUAGCUCAACUUU